rnacentral:lncRNA from 1 species
AACAGGCAGGUGGCGUUCACCCCAUUGCCCUGGAUUUCUGUACAGUUGGCAUGGCUGGGCUUGGUGUAGGAAGCCAGAAGCCCAUCUCUCCAAGCUCUGGGAAGCAUUUGACAUGCUGUAUGGAGUGAAGGUUCUAGGAACAAAGCCAUCAUCAAUGGGAAAGGGCCCACAAGAGAAAAAGAUGGGAGAGAGCUGGCCGAGAGAUAUCAAAGGUUCAGGGCUCUGCAGAAGAGGAUGCAGCUCUGAAUGGCAGUUAAAAAAGGAGAAGAAGCAGAACAAGAAGAAGAAUAAAUCAAAAACAAAUAAAUAAAACACAAGAAGAG